rnacentral:lncRNA from 10 species
GUUGUACUGCGCAUGCGCCGCGGCGGCCGCUGAGCGUGCGGGAGAAGUUCGGGAAACGGAGAAAAAAACUAUACGGAACGUCCCAAGCUGAGAGUCAGGGCGGACCUGGACUCGGCGCGCCUAGCUCCUCGGCUCCCUUUGCGGGGACUCCAGGAGUCUGCCCGCUCGCGCCGUUUCGUCCUGUCACCCCGGCAACGGGACCCUCUAAGAGGCUUGUUCCAAAAAUGUUCACAAUGGGGUUUUUAAAAACGGUUUUGUUAGGGACAAGUGCUUGUGUGAGUCCUCCGACAAUGCCUGCUUUCUUCUCUCUGCCCGCGGAGCGGAGGCUCCAGGCCUGGCCCCAGUCCGAGGCGCCUCUGUCGGUGUCGUCCUGCUUCCAAAACCGGCCUCCAGAACCCGCCUCCUUCCAGAACCUCCGUCCAGAACCCGCCUCCCUCCAGAACCUCCGUACAGAACCCACAUCCUUCUAGCACCUGCCUCUGGAACCCACGUGCUUUCAGAACUACCUGUUUGUAGAACUUGUUUCCAGAACGAACCUGCUUUCCGAAUCUCUUUACUUCCAGAGCUUGUUUCCUGGACUGACCUAUUUUCAGAACCUACUUUCAAAACCAGCUUGCCUCCAGGACCACCUGCUUGGAGAACUGGCCUGCAGCCCCAGGACUGGACGACCUGAGACUGCACAGCUCCCUGCGGGGCUCACCCGGCUGUGUGUGUCCUUCCGGGCCUUCCAUACUUCCCUAGGUGUCUGGUGACUCCGGAGCCCGCUCGGAUUUCGUGUGGGUCUCGCCUCAGCUCAGAACACACCCUUUGAAGAGCAGGAAGGCCAGGGCACAGGCGGUAACCACGGCUCCUGGUCAUCAAGUUCCUCUGAAGCCCAGGUCUUGUCCACGUUCACUGCCCCACCACAGGCCCAGCGGAGCCUUGGAGCUGAGCCCUGGGAUCAUUCUGGUGCCUGUGCUCCCGGCUCCGCAACAAGCACACAGGAGCCUGUCAUCCCCAGAUCUAAAUCCUGAAGGCUAAGCUCCGUGGUCUGCCGCAGCCAUCUGCAGCAGGCCCCUCCCAGCAACAGCCUUCUCAUAAGGCCCCUGCCAGCCACGCGAAACCUCCUGGCUAGGGCCUGUCUUCCACUCCUGGCCUUUUGAGACAGGGCCUCACUCUGUUCCCCAGGCCGGAGUGCAGUGGUACGAUCACAGCUCACUGCAGCCUCCACCUCCUGGGCUCAUGUGAUCCUCCCACCUCAGCCUCCUGAAUAGCUGGGACUACAGGCUUGCACCACCACACCCGGCUAAUUUUUGUAUAUUUUGUAGAGACAGGGUUUCGCCACAUUGCCCAGGCCCAGGCUGGUCUCAAACUUCUGGGCUCAAGCAAUUCAUCUGCCUCAACCUCCCAAAAGUGCUGGAUUACAGGGAUGAGCCACCAUACCCGGCUUUUUUUUUUCUUUCUCCUGGCCUUUUGGGGCCCUUGAAGUGUCUGCUCCCUGGGAGCCCUUCAGCUUGUCGUCCACUUGGUGGGUUCCCACCCGUCCUUCUCACUUCUGCCUGAAUCACACAGGCUACAUGAGACCUUCACCCACCCCCUUCGCCAGCAGCUCUGUGGUUCAAGUUUCCUCAAGGUUAGGGGCUCCUGGCCAUCUUACCUGUGGGCCUGAGCAUGGGCCGAUGCUUCCAAAGUUCACACUGGGUGCACUUGUGUGGGGACUUCCAUGUGAGUCAUCUCCUUGCAGGCUGCCAAGGUCCUGUACAGCAGAGACCCAAACCCUCUUAGCAGUCUUCAGAGUCAGCUAUGUGUACAGGAGGCAUUACCAUAUCAGUGACUGUCAGCAAGCAUGUGUGACUGAAAUGGUAUCCAGUUCUUACGUAUUUGUUUUGCAGGCUUCUUGGUUCAGCAGACAGAGGCCAUUGGGAAGUUAAGAGAGGCUCUCAAACUUUGAGGGUCAUAAGACUUCCCCUCCCUGCAGGGUGCUGUUUCCUGAAGGAAAAUAUUCAAUUACUAUUUUCUUUAUUUAUUUAUUGA